CUGGCAGAUUCUGAAGGGGGAAAUCCUGUGCGCUCUAUGUUGCAUUUUAUCGACCCAUAAGCGUAUAGCUUUUCCCAUUCAGCGUGUGCCCA
rnacentral:miRNA from 14 species